CUGCCCGCAAUUCCUCUUCAACCGUUUAACUUAGAAACUUCAUUCAAACUCUGUAACGUAGGUCUUCUAAUGGAUCGGGUUGCUAUAAUUUUUCAACUUUGUAACUUUUAUACUUUUUAAACUAUAAAUUAAAAACUAUUAAAAAUUACCCCAUAGACUUAACAUUGGCCUCUAUGACAUCACAAUCGGGUCGUUGAGCAAUUAGAAUCUUAUGCCAGGUGGCCAGCCCCACCUGCAGCAGCCCUCUCUCUCUCAGGCUAUUAAGCAGACACUGGCUGUGUUCGAACUGCGUGCUAAAUACUAGUCACAUACUGAUAAUGACGUGAAGUAGCAAAUAGUAUGCAGUGUUUGGAAAAUGUAAUAUUACCAGUACACAAAAGUUUCCCGGAUGUUAUACUGAUGGGAUACUGCAUCCCAUAAUGCAUAGCGAUUGUUUCCAGCUUCAGAAAAUUUCAGUAACAAUGGCGGACAGCGAAGGGACAAGUAUGGCAAAAACCGGAGAUGAAGAGCACAAAUGACUGGCACAACGUCAUGCACAGUGGUCUUGGGAACAUCGAAGGCUUCUGCAACAACCCUGUAGGAGGUGGCACUGGAUAACCAAUACUGAAUGAUGACAACCUCCAGUCUCUCCCCCAGCCUCCAUCACAGUCCACUUCAAGUGUGUCCACAAGGGCAUUGACAGAAGUCGUUCAGAUCCACAUCUCCAAAGAGGAGACGGACAAUAGAUAGAAUAGUGUUGCCAUUCAGUUAGCAAUAUUGUCCCCUGGGGUCAUUCUGAGAGAAUGUGCACUUGUUGUUUUUCUUGAUGUUAAAGUUCAGACAUUUUAAUCAAUUGAAAGUAUUUUGUUCAAUGUUUAGUGUCAUAUGUAAGGUAACUGUCAUGCAGUUGUCAUUAUGGAUUAUCAAUUGUCAGUGUAGCACAGUUACAUUUACUUAAUUUCACAUUUUUGAUCCAUUAACCAUGGUUGCAUACGCCUUCAUAAGAAAAGACAACUGUGGGCUACAAUAUUGUUAGUUUCUCUAGGCAUAUUGGUCUAAUCACUCUGAAUUCCUGCUGAAGAACGAGAUUAAAGACCAUCAGUAUUGCAGA